rnacentral:lncRNA from 1 species
GGCGUUUUCGAGAUCGAAAUAUUACGCAAAUUGCAAGAAUAUUCCCAAUUACUCCAAGCACAAAGGAUACUACAGACACAACGGGAACACGGUGACUCAAAUCUGACGCCUUUUGUUGAAGGCAGCACUGUAGCAUUAUCAGUCGCGUUUAAAAGUGUCUGUAAAGUUGAACGACCCAGUGUAAUGAAGGCAUUUGAUGUAUUCAUUUCAGUUUAAAAAGAUGUAUUGGUGGUUUCCAUUUCAAACGUUGUCAUUAUGUCUUAUAUUGUUUAGAAGGAUUUUC